ACGCUGGCGGCAGGCUUAACACAUGCAAGUCGAACGGUAACAGGGAUUAGCUUGCUAAUCUGCUGACGAGUGGCGGACGGGUGAGUAAUGCUUGGGAAUCUGGCUUAUGGAGGGGGAUAACUACGGGAAACUGUAGCUAAUACCGCGUAAAAUCUUCGGAUUAAAGGGUGGGACUUUCGAGCCACCUGCCAUAAGAUGAGCCCAAGUGGGAUUAGGUAGUUGGUUAGGUAAAGGCUGACCAAGCCGACGAUCUCUAGCUGGUCUGAGAGGAUGACCAGCCACACUGGAACUGAGACACGGUCCAGACUCCUACGGGAGGCAGCAGUGGGGAAUAUUGCACAAUGGGGGGAACCCUGAUGCAGCCAUGCCGCGUGAAUGAAGAAGGCCUUCGGGUUGUAAAGUUCUUUCGGUGACGAGGAAGGUUGAUAGGUUAAUAGCCUAUCAAAUUGACGUUAAUCACAGAAGAAGCACCGGCUAACUCCGUGCCAGCAGCCGCGGUAAUACGGGGGGUGCGAGCGUUAAUCGGAAUAACUGGGCGUAAAGGGCACGCAGGCGGUGACUUAAGUGAGAUGUGAAAGCCCCGAGCUUAACUUGGGAAUUGCAUUUCAUACUGGGUCGCUAGAGUACUUUAGGGAGGGGUAAAAUUCCACGUGUAGCGGUGAAAUGCGUAGAGAUGUGGAGGAAUACCGAAGGCGAAGGCAGCCCCUUGGGAAUGUACUGACGCUCAUGUGCGAAAGCGUGGGGAGCAAACAGGAUUAGAUACCCUGGUAGUCCACGCUGUAAACGAUGUCGAUUUGGGGAUUGGGCUUUGAGCUUGGUGCCCGUAGCUAACGUGAUAAAUCGACCGCCUGGGGAGUACGGCCGCAAGGUUAAAACUCAAAUGAAUUGACGGGGGCCCGCACAAGCGG
rnacentral:rRNA from 1 species